rnacentral:rRNA from 1 species
AGUGAACGCUGGCGGUAGGCCUAACACAUGCAAGUCGAACGGCAGCACAGUAAGAGCUUGCUCUUACGGGUGGCGAGUGGCGGACGGGUGAGGAAUACAUCGGAAUCUACUUUUUCGUGGGGGAUAACGUAGGGAAACUUACGCUAAUACCGCAUACGACCUACGGGUGAAAGCAGGGGAUCUUCGGACCUUGCGCGAUUGAAUGAGCCGAUGUCGGAUUAGCUAGUUGGCGGGGUAAAGGCCCACCAAGGCGACGAUCCGUAGCUGGUCUGAGAGGAUGAUCAGCCACACUGGAACUGAAACACGGUCCAGACUCCUACGGGAGGCAGCAGUGGGGAAUAUUAGACAAUGGGCGCAAGCCUGAUCCAGCCAUACCGCGUGGGUUGAGAAGGCCUUCGGGUUGUAAAGCCCUUUUGUUGGGAAAGAAAAGCAGCAGGUUAAUACCCCGCUGUUCUGACGGUACCCAAAGAAUAAGCACCGGCUAACUUCGUG